AGCCGUAACGUCUGGCUGAGUUA
rnacentral:siRNA from 1 species